UGGGCCUUGGGGGAAACCCCUCGGAGCAGGGGGGCACUAGCCGGGCAACCGGCCGGCGCCCCCCAGCACUGGGGCGGGGACGCCCUUGGCAGGCUUCGGCCGUCCGGCGGGCGCUUAACGACCAACUUAGAACUGGUACGGACAAGGGGAAUCUGACUGUC
rnacentral:rRNA from 1 species